GAUCAGAUAGCUCAGGGGUUAGAGCACCAAGUGAUUUUAAUGUUAUGUUAUCAAUCUGGGGGUCCUGGGUUCGAAUCCCAGUCUGAUCA
rfam:Lottia gigantea unplaced genomic scaffold LOTGIsca_38, whole genome shotgun sequence.